CACGUAGGGGGCAAGCGUUGUCCGGAUUUAUUGGGCGUAAAGAGCUCGUAGGCGGUUUCGUAAGUCGGGUGUGAAAACUCUAGGCUCAACCUAGAGACGCCACCCGAUACUGCGAUGACUAGAUUCCGGUAGGGGAGUGUGGAAUUCCUGGUGUAGCGGUGAAAUGCGCAGAUAUCAGGAGGAACACCAGCGGCGAAGGCAGCACUCUGGGCCGGAACUGACGCUGAGGAGCGAAAGCGUGGGUAGCGAACAGG
rnacentral:rRNA from 1 species